rnacentral:rRNA from 1 species
GAUGAACGCUAGCUACAGGCUUAACACAUGCAAGUCGAGGGGCAGCAUGGUCUUAGCUUGCUAAGGCCGAUGGCGACCGGCGCACGGGUGAGUAACACGUAUCCAACCUGCCGUCUACUCUUGGACAGCCUUCUGAAAGGAAGAUUAAUACAAGAUGGCAUCAUGAGUCCACAUGUUCACAUGAUUAAAGGUAUUCCGGUAGACGAUGGGGAUGCGUUCCAUUAGAUAGUAGGCGGGGUAACGGCCCACCUAGUCUUCGAUGGAUAGGGGUUCUGAGAGGAAGGUCCCCCACAUUGGAACUGAGACACGGUCCAAACUCCUACGGGAGGCAGCAGUGAGGAAUAUUGGUCAAUGGGCGAGAGCCUGAACCAGCCAAGUAGCGUGAAGGAUGACUGCCCUAUGGGUUGUAAACUCCUUUUAUAAAGGAAUAAAGUCGGGUAUGGAUACCCGUUUGCAUGUACUUUAUGAAUAAGGAUCGGCUAACUCCGUGCCAGCAGCCGCGGUAAUACGGAGGAUCCGAGCGUUAUCCGGAUUUAUUGGGUUUAAAGGGAGCGUAGAUGGAUGUUUAAGUCAGUUGUGAAAGUUUGCGGCUCAACCGUAAAAUUGCAGUUGAUACUGGAUAUCUUGAGUGCAGUUGAGGCAGGCGGAAUUCGUGGUGUAGCGGUGAAAUGCUUAGAUAUCACGAAGAACUCCGAUUGCGAAGGCAGCCUGCUAAGCUGUAACUGACAUUGAGGCUCGAAAGUGUGGGUAUCAAACAGGAUUAGAUACCCUGGUAGUCCACACGGUAAACGAUGAAUACUCGCUGUUUGCGAUAUACAGCAAGCGGCCAAGCGAAAGCGUUAAGUAUUCCACCUGGGGAGUACGCCGGCAACGGUGAAACUCAAAGGAAUUGACGGGGGCCCGCACAAGCGGAGGAACAUGUGGUUUAAUUCGAUGAUACGCGAGGAACCUUACCCGGGCUUAAAUUGCAGAUGAAUUACGGUGAAAGCCGUAAGCCGCAAGGCAUCUGUGAAGGUGCUGCAUGGUUGUCGUCAGCUCGUGCCGUGAGGUGUCGGCUUAAGUGCCAUAACGAGCGCAACCCUUGUUGUCAGUUACUAACAGGUUCCGCUGAGGACUCUGACAAGACUGCCAUCGUAAGAUGUGAGGAAGGUGGGGAUGACGUCAAAUCAGCACGGCCCUUACGUCCGGGGCUACACACGUGUUACAAUGGGGGGUACAGAGGGCCGCUACCACGCGAGUGGAUGCCAAUCCCAAAAACCUCUCUCAGUUCGGACUGGAGUCUGCAACCCGACUCCACGAAGCUGGAUUCGCUAGUAAUCGCGCAUCAGCCACGGCGCGGUGAAUACGUUCCCGGGCCU